UACGGAAGGUCCGGGCGUUAUCCGGAUUUAUUGGGUUUAAAGGGAGCGCAGGCGGGCCUGCCAAGCGUGCCGUGAAAGCGCGGGGCUCAACCCCGUAGAGCGGCGCGAACUGGCGGCCUUGGUUGCGGGAAGGGGAGGCGGAACUCGUGGUGUAGCGGUGAAAUGCAUAGAUAUCACGAAGAACUCCGAUCGCGAAGGCAGCCUCCCGGCCCGUGAACGACGCUCAUGCUAGAAGGCGCGGGUAUCAAAC
rnacentral:rRNA from 1 species